rnacentral:rRNA from 1 species
CAUGGUCUUAGCUUGCUAAGGCUGAUGGCGACCGGCGCACGGGUGAGUAACACGUAUCCAACCUGCCGUCUACUCUUGGCCAGCCUUUCGAAAGAAAGAUUAAUGCCCGAUGGUUUCAAGGGAUUGCAUGGUAUCUUGAAUAAAGAUUCAUCGGUAUGCGAUGGGGAUGCGUUCCAUUAGGCAGUUGGCGGGGUAACGGCCCACCAAGCCUUCGAUGGAUAGGGGUUCUGAGAGGAAGGUCCCCACAUUGGAACUGAGACACGGUCCAAACUCC